UCUUCACUGGAUUUUGAAUUAGUUUUUCUUCCCAUGUGAUCUCUGAAGCAUUUUCAAAAGUAGUCAGUUGUUCAUUAUCUCUAAAUAUUUCUAGAUGUAAUAUGAAAUCAAUCUUGAAUCAGAGAUGGGCCUGAAUGUUAAGUAUUUAUCCUCAUUUAAACAAGUGAAUUUAGACCAGAAUUCAUUAAUGGAUUGUGAAUGGCUUCUUUUGUAGAUCUGGACAGAUCCUCAAAGGAUGCCUUUUUAUGUCUUAGCCAACAAAGGAAAAUAAAGGCCCAGGGGAAGUGGCUUCUGGGCCACCAUCCAUCCCACCACUCCAAGCCCAGAGGAAGGGGUUUCUGAUCCACUGUCCCACUGCUCCUGGCCCAGAAGAAGGGGCUUCUGAACCACCAUCCCAUUGCUCUCAGCUGAGAGGAAGGCGCUUCCAGGCUGAUGUCUGUCCUGCCAAUCCCAGCCCAGAGGAAGGGGCUUCUGAGCUACCAUCCCACCAGUCUCGGACCAGAGGUAUGGG
rnacentral:lncRNA from 1 species